GGGGAUUUGGCUCAGUGGUAGAGUGCUUGCUUAGCAAGCGCGAGGCCUUGGGUUCAGUCCCCA
rfam:Rattus norvegicus chromosome 7, whole genome shotgun sequence.